CGAAGCCACAGCCCACAGCCCACGUCCCUCCCUUUCCACGCUCUUCUCAACUUGGCAGUAUAAUCCGUUCCUCUGUUGGUCUGUCGUCUCUCCUUUGCUUGUCAUCUCUUGGCUCUCUCUCUCGCUCUCUCUCUUUUUUGGGCUCAUGGCCAGGAAGCUCAGCUCUAGGAGCUCAUCAUUUUCUUGGUCAUGUCAGCCGCUUUCCCUGAGGGCCUCUACCCGGAAGAAUAGUGUAACAUGGAAUCCAACUUCAAUGUAGCGGCUUGGAUAAGGACUAUGAAAAGUCAAGGAGUAUGGAAUUUAAGGCUCAGCACUUCGUUUUUAAUGUGUUUUAAUCUGUUUGUGCUAUUUAUAUGUCUUAACUGUUGUAACUGAGUUAUAUUUUAUUGUGUGCGUUAUGAGGAAUUUAAUUUUUGCCUUGAUUUGUGAGCCACUCUGAGUCCCCUUAGUGGUGAGAAGGGUGGGGCAUAAAUAUAGUAAAUAAAUAAAUAGUAAAUUUAUAGACUGCCCUCUCUCCCCAGAGGGACACAGGGCGGUUAACAUACAUAUAAAUAGCAAGUGUUCAUUGCCACAGUGUGUUGUACAAGGCUUUCAUGGCCGGAAUCACAGGGUUGUUGUGUGUUUUCCAAAAGAGCUGCAAGGCCAAGAACAAGCCAUGAGAGUAAAGACAAAGAUCCAUCCAGAGGAAAAGUGUUCUUACCAUACAUCAAGGGAACCACUGACUGCAUAGGCAAGCUGAUGAAGAAACACAACCUACAAACUAUCUACAGACCUACUAAGAAAAUCCAACCAAUGCUACGUUCAGCAAAGGACAAGAAGGAUCCUCUCACCUCUGCAGGAGUCUACCGUGUACCAUGCAGCCGUGGAGAAGUCUACAUAGGGACCACCAAAUGCAGCAGCAUUGCCCAGACACAAAUCAAGGAACAUGAAAGGCACUUCAAACUACAUCAACCAGAGAAGUCAGCCAUAGCAGUGCACUUGAUGAACCAACCUGGACACAGCAUAUUAUUUGGGAACACAGAAAUGCUGGACCACUAUAACCACCACCAUGUCAGACUACACAGAGAACGCAUUGAAAUCCAAAAGCAUGUGGACAUUUUCAACAGAAAGGAGAAAACCAUGAAAAUGAACAAAGUCUGGCUACCAAAACUCUAAAAUCAAAACAGUAAAUAAGAAACACCACUCAGAAAAUAGAGGAAUUCCAGACAUGAGUCAAUCAAGGAAGAAGGAAGCAGGAAGAAGCCAGGACAUCAAGUUUGCAAGGCCAUUAAUGCUAAUCAAAGUGAUUAAUUACAACAGUCACACUGGCCUCCAACAAAGCAUUUCUGUACAAUUUAACAUCUACAAAUAUGCAAAUAUUAAAACAGAAUUAAAUAUC